rnacentral:SRP_RNA from 1 species
GCCAGGCAUGGUGGUGUCUGAUAAUCCCAGCUACUCAGGAGUCAAAUGCGGAAGGGUUGCUUGAGCCCAGAAGUUCUGGGCUGUAGUGUGCUGCACUGAUUGGGUGUCCCUACUAUGUUCGGCAUCGAUACAGUGACCCCCUGGAGUGAGAUACCACCAGGUUGUCAGAGAAGGGACCAACCAGUCCGGGAAACACAGUCAGUAAAAUUCCCUUGCCGAUCAGUAGUGGGAUCACACUUAUGAAUAGCCAUUGCCCUCCAACCUGGACAACAUAACAAGACCCCACCUCU